rnacentral:tRNA from 1 species
AACAUAGAAGUAAAUUAUAUACACUUAGUUUCGACCUAAACUUUAGGAUUAAUGCAAAAUCCUCAUGUUU